AAAUAGCUCAGUGGUUAGAGCACCCGGUCGAAACCUGGGAGGUCCAGGGUUCAAUCUGAUAAAAUCACCCAGUCUUA